rnacentral:lncRNA from 1 species
CACAAAAUCAUACUUCAAGCAACAGAGGUACCAUGCAGGAUGAAUAAUAGGGGCCAUCCUACAGUGGUGCUCCAAGCAGACAGGAAACAUGGCCCAGAAGCAUGGAGGCGCAUCUGUGUCUUGUUUCAGGAAGAAUCAUGCUGCUUGGUCUCCUCCAGUAGAACACGCACAUUCCAUCUCUGAAGAAAGAAAAUUUCAACAGUCCUGGCUCAUUCUAUCCUUUGUUCUCUUUGUGCCCUACAAGGCACAGUGGUCAUAAAGGCUCAGAGGUGCAUCCUGUGCUCUCCGUACAUCCGUUCCAGCAGGUGGAAUAAAAAUCCUGUCAGUGGAUGUGAAUCUCCUAUUGUGAUCCCUGAAGUUCCGCUGAGCUCAAGACAGAUGGACACCCUGCAGCAGCUGCACAAAAUGGCUCUCAGAUCUGACCCGCAUACAAAGCAGAGAGCAUGAGAGUGCUCCAAAGAGAGCUGGCAGCCUCUUGACGUCCGUAAAAUACAAGGCUGGCUCUGGCUUUGACCCUCGCACAUCCCCUAAAACAUGGUAAAGGAAUAGAGAAGUGCUGCACUGCAUUCUUGGAAUUAUUCCAGUCAAUUUGAAUAUAUGACCAAUAUUUGAAUGUAAGACCAUUUAUCAGCUAUUCUGUGUUAUCUGAUAAUACGCUAUCAUCCUUCCAACCUCAAAGACCAGGAGACUAAAUGGUUCAAUAGUGUUUUUUCUUUUCUGUGGCAUUUCCAGGUGACAUAUCUUAUAGUGAGAUAAAAAUAAGGGUAAUACUGUUAGACUGUCUCUUUUCUAGCUGCACAAAAAUAUCCCAUCCUGCCCAUGUGGGACGUGGAUGGCAGGAAACUGACCCGCCUGGCGAGGAGAGAUGGUUGCCUCCAGGAAGGAGUCAAGAGGCCAAACACUGGACACAGGGUGAGGAGUGAGUGCUUGCCAACUCUGGAAAGGAGUCCUAUGCCUGGAUCUUGUCCCAUUGUGCUGGCUGAGCACCACAGGGGACUUUCAAGUGGCACAAAUUCUCGGCUGCACACGGUACCUAAGCCACAGACUGAAAAAUUAUGCAAGCAGGGUCCAGUGCUAAGAAACAGACUAGUGGGACCAAAGGAAGUAGAAUCAAGGUCCUUGCACAAGUAAACUUGGUUUGUGAAUGGGAGAUACAGGAAAAUGUGAAACAGAGAAGACAGAAAACUGACCAGGCAAACUCUCCUGCUCCCUUUUCUGUACUCACUUAUCUUUGAUUCUUAUUGAGAUUCCAUAAGACUACAGAGUCUUAAUUAAGUUCAUUUUCUGACUUUUGUCCCCCUGAUGAAUCUGCCAGGUAAACCUCCAACCUGGAUCAGUUCGAACCCCUGUAUUUCCAUUCCUAUUACUGGUCUGCAGUUGCAUACCUCAGGAGAAAAUAUCCUAACUGUGUAGAAUGGCAUAAUUAAUUAAUGACACCCCCACUGAGUUCUCAGGGAGCUCAGUCAUCUUUCUCAAGAACCCAUUCAAAAAUGUUAACAUCUCAGUGACUGUUUAAAUCUUCUCCAGUCCAUCAAGCCCCAUUCUACCAUGCUCUCUGCCAAUUGUGCCUUCUAUUUUAUGAAGAAGAUAAAAGUCAUAAGGCAAGAAAUACACCAAUUUCCUCCCCCCACCCUUUGACUUAAAAAGAUAUCUAGGGGGUUGCUUUCUUCCCUUCUACCUCAGAAGAAGAGGUCAUUCUUGCACUGUGUGUUAUAUCCUGUCCAAGUCCUCAGAGGACUUGCCUUCACCAAUUAC